rnacentral:lncRNA from 1 species
CUACCGAAAAUAUCCUCCAAUUUUUGCCGUCAUUCGCGGAAAGGAAGGAGAUAGCGGCUGCGUCGGUGCCGAAUUCCUUGCCUGCGUGGCCGCGCCCACAAUUCGGGAUGCUCGAGGGCGAUGUCGUGUCCGGCGUCGAUCUACCCCGCUAUGCUCGUUGAGUAUGUGGUGCCGCUGUCCUUGAAGGCAUACGUCCUAGCCAUGGUGAUGGGGGCUGCAUGGGCCGUUGCCAUUGAUGGCAGGCGCUGUGGCCGGGAAACGGCGGCUGCGCGUGCUACGGUGACGGUGGGUCGGGAGACGGCCUCCGCGCUGAAGACGGAGGCUGAGCGGUUUCUAUGUGCUGGAGUUUGCUCCGGCGGCAUGGAGAGGAGCUGCAGCCGGCGCAUCGCAAAGGGAUGGAGGCCCCCUUCAUCCAGUCACCGAUUAUAUGUGGGUACGUGUAUUUCUGCAACCUCAUGUAUUAGUCUGAAGCAUACUAUUCUAUUAUGCUCGAAGCCCAAAUAGUAAAUAGGAUGUGCUUUGCAUAGAGUCGAUGCUCACAAACAUGGGGCUAAUUAUACAUGGUAAACAUGAAUAAACCAUAGGUCUUACCGAACCAAAUUAGAUAGGAGUCUGCGUGCGUUUAUCUUAGCCGUGUGGCACCCGGGUUGAUAGUCGAGCUGAUUGAAUUGGAGGCGGGGAAAGAUCAGCAGGAAACCAAUGCCACGAAGAGUGCGUGAGGUUUGUAUGCCAAGUUAUCCAACAUUGUGUGUGUGGAAUCAAACUUAUAUGCAACCAUGGAUAGGAAAGUGAUCCUGUAUUAAUUAAUUAGAGUUAAUGCGCAUUAUUACACUAGGAAUUAGUGGGGAAACAAAAAAAAUGGAAAGAACAUAUAUAUGGCAGUUGAUCCCGGACAGAAUCUCAUAUGUCAUUGAUUUUUUUCAUCCAGCUGGAUUUAUAAUGAUGACAUACGUAUAAAAAUAGAUCCUUGUGAAGCUGUUUUAGAGGCGACGAACACUAAGUGGCUGUGCGAACAUCAUUAUAGAGCAUUGAAGUGAAUUUUGCAUCAGACUUGAACCCUCCUCAUUCAUUGAACAUGAACAUGGCUCAUUCGUUGAACAAUCAAGCUGGCCCGGUUCUGCAAGGACCCUAGAGCAUCUCCUAGUGCUGCACGGCAGGCUGCCAGCUCGUAGGGCUGCUGGUUGUCUGGUUGGAAGACAAGCUGGCUCAUGUAUGUCGUUUUCCAGUACCCUACAAAAUAGGUUUAAUAAAACAACAUACAAUACAUAUUUUUAUAUAAGAUGGUCAUGUUAAACAUUCUUCAAUUACACAAGCACUCAUGUUGUGCUCUGUUGACCUCAAGCAUUGUGGCACCUAAAGUCCAGAGCCCCUGCUUUGCUAGUCCCCACCGCAUCAAGUGGCGUGACACAUGCUGGUCCCAGACAUGUAGGUAGAUAAACUCCCUCCUGGUUGAGCAAUAAAAUGUUAGCCCACUGCCAAUAAAAUGUACUCCCUUCAUUAGGACCACAUGUCGGUAUGGCGUGGUACGGUCGUCUGACCUGUGUAACAUUAUUUUGCUGACAUGCAUCACUAUGCCAAUGACAUCUGGGAAAAAAUGAUGUGAAUUUGUUAAGAAAGUCUGGCUCAACUACAUGUCAGCAAAAUUCAUUGUGAAAUGAUACAAUGCACCUGCAAGCAUCCUGUUUCUGAGGCCAUAUACAUCUAUAAAAUCAAUGAAUCGUGGCGGCAAUGAAGGGGUGUUAAUGCUAGCCCUGGCAAGAAGUAUUUCAGUGCACGAGUGGAGGACGAUGUAAAAGUCACAUGGAACCGGCAAUGCAACUAGCAUAUGCAUAGCUGCUGGUUCAAACCCAACUUUUUGAAUAAGUAUACAGAGCCGACACGUAGGUUGUCGCUGAAGCGAUAUGCGAUUGGUUGAAAUGGAUCAAAUGCAAUUGCAUCCAUUUUGACCCCCUGGAAAUUUAUUGCAUACAUGAGCAGCAUGUUGAAUAUAUUAUCAGCAGAUCACUUAAUAGCAUAUCAUUUUUGAAGACUUACAGUUUGGUCGAUGAGGAUGGCGUGAAAGAUGGCUGCUCCACUCCGGGUAUGUUUGAUACGAGCAUACAAAACCUUUGCCGUUGCGUCCCAACCUCUACUGUAUAUAUGUAGGUUUUCUAUUUCGCUGAACCUUACAUGUCUGCAAUUGGUUGACAAAGAGCACAAUUCUGUAUAUUUAUUUAUGCAAAUAACUAAAAGCAGGAAUGGAUAAAAUGUUGCCUGUCGAUCGGCGGUGGAGGGCCAAUGGGAGUGGGAACGAAGUUCACAGGCGGUGGUGCCAUGACCCUCUUCGAGCCAGGACGGCCCAUCCUGGGUCCCAUCGCCAUGAGCGCCAAGACUCUAUUCCUCUUCAACACGACUCAUGGUUCAGAACGCAGAAUGUUUUUUAUAGCAUGGUAUAUGGCGGGAAAUAGAAGCACUGGAAUUUUGUAUUGGCAUGGUAUAUAGACGUAUAUUGACUGAUCUGACUAUUUUCAUUUUCAUUGGCGUGAAGUAAAUCAUGGUGAUAGAAAAAGGAAGUGAUUGAAAGAAGGAAGGAGAUUGAUCACCGUUUGAUUGAAAGAAGGGAUGAGAUUGAUCACCGUCAUGAAUGAAUUGAUUGCCAUGCAUGAAUUGAUUGCGUUUGGAUUGAUUGUUGAUUGAUUGUGCUUGGUUGCCUUAUGUGAAUUAUUUCUUUACCAAAGAUAGAGUCGAUUGAAGGGAGAAAAGAAAAUCGGCAGAGGGAGAAAACCGAU